UCCAAUUUCUCCCAACGGUCCAAAGCGGCACACGGCGGCCGCCGAGAUCCGCGAGGCCGCGGCCGGAGAGGGUCUGGGCAUGUCCCGGCUACAGGCUAGCGGCGCGUGGGGGUAUCGGGUGGCGGGGCGGACGCGCACCUCGACGACGACGACCGCAGGCGCCCCUCCCUCGACGACGACGACGACCGCAGGCGCCCCUCCCUCGACGACGACGACGACCGCAUGCGCUCCUCGACUCGGCGCCGACAGAAUCGACGGGGUCAAGCGCUUCCAUACAGCCCUCGUCGAGCGCAGGUGGUCAAGAAAGAACAUUGCGGCACGGUCGCCGGAGGUGAAGAAGCUCGUCUGCCUACCUCCGCCUCCUCCACUACGCCGAGAUGUAAUGAAUCUGAUUGGAGAUGUUAGAAUAUAAGUGGUUGAUAUGAUUGAUACAGCAGGAACUAUUGCCAAAGGAGCUGAGCUGCUGCUGCAUCAAGGAGCAAGAGAAGUCUAUGCAUGCUGUACACAUGCUGUUUUUAGUCCACCAGCCAUCGAGAGAUUAUAAGUUAGUUUGUUUCAAGAAAUAAUCAUCACGAACACUAUCCCCUCGAAGACGCAUUGAAGACUUUGCUAAGCGAGGCAAGCAACCUACUUUGAUCAUGUUGAACCCAUAUUUGCAUUACACACUUAGAAUUAUUUUGCAUGAAUAAAGUAUUGUAUACUAGUAUUGCUAUGCUAAGUUAAUUAGCUAGGGUUUAGCUAUGCCCUAUGUGCUUGAUAUUGACACCCCCUUGACAUUCUUAAUACCCGUCAUUUCUAAAUGUAGGACUACAUACCCACUGGUCACAAAUAAAUGUGGGUCAUAGGUGCAAGUUUAAUAGUAUUGCUUAGCCAUGCAAGUCACAUAAAUCCUAGGACUUGGGAAGAAUCUUUGUUACUCAUAAAUGUAUUACAAAAACCCAAGGGUGCCACUAAUGCCUGUGGAAUGAAUCUAAAAAAAUAAGGUCUUACAAAAUGGAGAUGAAGUGGAGAUGUUUUCAAAAAGGUAUAGUGUACAGUCACCAACCUUACAUGUGCAAGCACAUUACCACAAUAUGAGAUGGGGCUAGAUUUAGUACCUUGGUUGGUCUAGUGUAGAGCCCUCGCUGGAUGGAUACCCCAUACACGUGACAAGAGUGGACAAUAUGAAUCACGGGAACUCUACCGACAUCAUUCUUGAGAUUAAAAUGGUUUGAUUGUUCAAAUCGCAUACACCUAGCGCCAAGAGACAUUCAAGAUGCAAAGGCCUGAAAGCAUGGACUUGUAUCGAUGUGCAUAACUUAUGGAAUUGCAAGAGCACCACUUAAGAACCAACAACUUUUGAUUGGAAUAAACCCCAACAAGAGAAUGUUAUUUUAGAGCUACUAGGUGAGCACGACAAUUAUUAUAUUGAUGGAUAAUAUGUCUUUAAUUAAUCUUGAAACAAUUUUAGGGUGUUGUAUGAUCAACCUUGGAUAUAUCAGAUUUAUAUAGGUUAGAUGAGAGUUUGCAGCACCAAUCAUGAUUCUGAUAAUUGGUGGAUUAUUGGAGUAUCUGGGAUUGGAUUAGUAGUAAGAAAAGAAGCAUUUUGAAGUAACAAAACUUGUGUUUCCUUUAGGCUAGAUGAGACUUAGCAACAUCAAUCAUGAUUAUGAAAAUGGUGGAUUAUUGGAGCAUCUGGGAUUGGAUUAAUAGUAAGGAAAAAAGAAUCUUGGAAUAGCACAACUUGUGUUUUCUUUAGGUUAAAUGAUAUAGCUACUUGGAUUCUAGGAUGGAGAUAAUUUUGGCACUCGGAUUUGUGAUGUUUUUGAUCUAAGCUUAGUAGCUUGCAUGUGCCCCAUAUGGAUAUAAUCAUGAAUGUGAUACAUGUGGAUCAGAGUUAUUAGACGUAGGUGAUUUUGGUGUCCCUCCCCAAGAAUGUUAUGAGUACAAGAUCAUCAUUUUGGUUUAAUUUGAAGAGAUGGCAAUUUUGAUGGUAUGUGAUAACCUUGUGGGAGUUGGGUCAUGUGAGCCUCAUAACAGUUGGCAUUAGAGAAACGGUAUUUAAGUAUGUUAUGGUGAACUUUCACCCUCACACCCAAUCCUACCAACACCAAGCCAUGACUUGGUCGAGCCGCGACAAUAAAGUUGGAUAUUAAGCCUAAGGAUGUGGCCGUUGGACUAACCCUUAUACUCCACCAUUUGAUGAACAUCAUAACAACAUGUUCAUGAGUUCUUGGACAUGUUUGUGGUUAUCAAAAUUGAUGAUCUCUUGGUCUAUCCUCCCCCCGAAGAUGAUCGUAAGCAACACUUGAGAAUGGUUUUGGACAAACUCCAAGAACCCCAAUUAUAUGCCAAGUUCAAGAAGUAUAGAAUUUGACUAAAAAAAGUUGGGUUAUGUGGACAUGUUUUGUCCAUAGAAAGUUUGCUAAUAGACCUGUCAAGGAUAGAAUCCGUAACCAAGUGGAAGGCUAAACCAAUGUGAAGUUAGAAGUUUCCUCGGACUUACCGGUUAUUAUCGCAAAUUUGUGGAAGACUUUCGAGCACCAUUGAUGAAUUAACUCCUGAAGAAAGAUAAUACAUUUGAAUGAACUCCCAAGUGUGAAGAGAGCUUUCGAGAGUUUAGAAAGGUCAACCAAGCCACCCCAGACAUUUAUAGGAGUUUUAAAAAUUAUUGUGAUGCAUCUAAGCGUGGACUUUGUUCUAUAUUUGAUGCAAGAAGGAAGACUCGUAGCCUAUCUAUCAAGGCAACUACGUCCUCAUGAAGAGAACUACCCUACCCAUGAUUUGGAUCUAGCAGUAGUAGUGCAUGCUUUAAGUAUGUCUUUUUUCAGAUGAACUUAAACAUGAGAAAAAGAAGAUUGGUAUAUUUAAUCAACCACUAUGACUUUGAUAUCCAUUACCACCCAGAUAAGUGUCACAGUGGAUACUCUCAGCAGGAAGUCGUGUACCUGUCCUGCCUUGACCAAGCAGAGCAAUUAGUGCUACCUAAAGGCUUCGAUAAGUUUGGCGUAGAGCUAGUCAAUAGUGGCUAUCUCGCUAACUUCAAUAUUAGCCCCACUCCUAGGUUGAAUCAAGAAGAAUAGAAGAAAUCAAUGAAAUGAUCAAGCAUGGAAAAGCCCUGCAUUAUCAAAAGACAAGCAAUGUGUUCUUUGGUUUGGAGGUCGCAUCUACAUACCUAACCAAGAAGGUUUGAAGAAGUGGAAUCUACAAGCAGCUCGUUGCACCCCUUUAUUCCAUCCACCUAGGGAGUACCAAGUUAUACCAGGACAAAAGGAGUUCUUAGUGGAAUGGAAUGGAUUUAGUUAGGUGAUUGUGAUCUUGAGGAGAUAGUCAAAUAUGUUUGGUUGGUUAUGAGAUUUUAGAUCUAGUUUGAGCAUGAUGAUUAUUAUAUUAGUGGAUAAAUCAAAAUUUUAAUUAAUAUUGGAACAAUUUGGAUUUUAGUUAGGUGAUUUUGAUCUUCAAAAGAUGGUCAAAUAUGUUCGGUGGAUUAAGGGAUUUAAGUCUAUUAGGCGAGUAUGAUGAUUAUUAUAUUAGUGGAUAGACAUAUCCUUAAUUAAUCUCAAAACUAUUUGUAUUUAGUUAGGUAUAAUUGUGACCUUGAACCAAAUUUUACGGUGGAUUGUGAGACUUUAGGUGGAUUUAGUUAGGUGAUUAUGAUCUUGAGGAGAUAGUCAAAGGUGUUCGGUUGAUUAUCAGAUUUUAGGGCUAGUAAGUGAGCAUGAUGAUUAUUAUAUUGGUAGAUAAAUAGAUCUUUAGUUAAUCUUGAAAGUAUUUGGAUUUAGUUAUGUGAUUGUUAUCUUGAACGAAAUAUCGUGGGGGAUUAUGAUUAGGUGGAUUUAGUUUUAGGUGAUUGUGAUCUUUAGGAGAUAGUUAAAGAUAGUUGAUAAGAGAUUUUAGGUCUAGUAUGAGCAUGUCUACUUUAUAUUGGUGGAUAAUAUAUUCUCAAUUAGUCUUACAACAAUUUGGAUUUAGUUAGGUGGUUGUUAUCAUGAAGCAAAUUUGACGAUGGUCAUGAGUUUUUGGUAGAUUUAGUCAGGUGAUUGUGAUCUUGAGGGAAUAGUCAAAGAUGUUUGGUGGAUUAUGAGACAUCUUUAAUUAAUCUUGGAACAAAUUGGAUUUAGUUAGGUGAUUGUUAUCUUGAAGCAAAGUUGACGAUGGAUUAUGAUUUUUGGGUGGAUUUAGUUAGGUGAUUGUGAUCUUCAACUAAAUUUUACAGUGGAUUAUAAGAUUUUAGGUGGAUUUAAUUAGGUGAUUGUGCUCUUGAGAAAAUAGUUAGUGAGCAUGAUGAUUAUUCUACAUGAGUGACCAAGACGAUGAUGCCACAAAGAGUCAGUAGGCGAGGAGAGGCGGAGAGACUGAUGGCGGAGUCAUCAGAGGGAAGGUGAAGCCAUUCAUGCUUCGAGAGGGCCUAAGAGUUAUAGCUUCAAGGGCCAGCAACUAGUAGAGCAUCCGUUUGAGGAUUGUAAUCAGAAUAAGAGUUAAAGUCAAGAAUGACCCUACAACUAGAGUUUACAAUCUAACCACCUGAAAUGAGUUGCAUGGGUUGAGGAAUGUGAGCAAAACUAGGAUCAUGAAAAGACGAAGUGCUAAGAGUGCCUUGACUAUCCAUUGGGAGGGAAAUUCCUAAAAACAUGAACAUGAGAAUUUGGAGGUCGAAUGGCAGACAAAUUGGAGGAAUCAGACGAAGAAGCACCCGUCGGUGAAACUAGAGGAGGUGGGUGUUGAAGUCGUGCAAUUUUUGUUCCUCGUCAAUCUGGCUUGGUGUCCUUCCCUUGUAUGCGGGUUAUGUGUCACGGACUUGAUGUCGCAUCCUACGUUCCCUUGUUGGGGGCUCUUGGCCCCGGCGACAGGUAGCGUAGUGCACACAUCCUGUGGGUUAGACAUUGCGGUGCCGACUGCCCUUGCUCCUGCUUCGCCGAUAGGUGGUGCUCGAGCGUUUGGUUAUGGCGGCACCCAACAGGGGAACACGGGUUGUAGGAUUGAGGCAGCACACAAACUAACCCGUAGCCAAGCAAAGGGUGCCCGAGCGGACUGGCAUGGAGCGGAGAGAGCACGAGGGGUGUGAGGGAAGGGGUGUAAAUGUCGUCGGGAGAGGAUUGCCGCCCUCGUCUGAUUUUGAACUUGAAGUCGAGCGAUGAGGAUGACGAUAGGGGAAGCGAGGAAGGCAGGAAGAGGGCACUUAAAGGAGAAAGGCAUCAUCCACCCUAUGCAUGUGCGUCAGCCGUGAUGGUGGUUGGUUGUGGGCAGAUCUGAUGUUUGCAUGUGGAUCUACUACUUGGGAUGGCAUGACAUGAUUGUUGUGGAGUGAGGUGCCGCACUAUUAUGUUGUGUGGGUGAGUUUGGAGAGAUAGAAGUCGCGUUGCACUCUAGGGCUUCAAUUGUACCAAGUUCCAACAUGAGAUUGUGAUUGUGUUAGUUAAUCAUUUUACAUCCUUAAGCCCUAACAUGCGGAAAGUUGGGUGGUGCCAUCCAGAAGUUGUUUGGAUGAGUUAUGAUUGGAGUCUGAUGGUGAUGUAGAAGUGAUAUUCAUGAGAUAGUCAAAGAGUUUGGGUAGAUUAUGAGAUUUUAUGUCUAGUUGAUCACGGUGAUUAUUAUAUUGGUGGAUAAACAAAUCUAUUAAUCUUGGAACAAUUUGGAUUUAGUUAGGUGAUUGUGAACUUGAAUCAAAUUUCAUGAUGGAUAAAUAAAUUUAAUUGUACAUAUGAAGAUCCAUAGUCCGUUAAUAGAACUUGUGGUUUAUAUUGGUUUUAGAUAACCAUGAAUUUGGAGUUUAUUUAAAUCAUGGUUACAUGUUGGUGGAUUGCUUUGUGUUAAAUUCACACUUUUGGAGAUUCAAGUUGGAGAACUUUUGGGUGUAGUAUGAUCAACCUACAGUGAGGAAGCAUACCACUCAAAGCAAGACGUGAGAACCUUCUUCGUAUCCAAAAGCCCCUUUUAGUCUGUCUGCCCUUAGUAUUUAUGAUACAUAAUCGCAUCUUCUCCCGUUUUCUUGUAUCUCCACGAAAGUAAGUAUUGGUAUGAUCGGAAGUAGUAUUUAGAUAUAUGUGACCCUCUAGCAGUUUGACUCCGUUGAUAGUUUGACUCCGUUGAUGGUAUACGAAACUUCCUUCCUGCGAAAGGUUGAGUUCGUAAAUCAAGCUUGUGGAAAAAGCGAGUGCCGGUAUUUGAUGGUGAGGAUGACUAACCUCGCUCUUGCAACCAUGAAUAUUUUCUAGAUACUACGGGCAUAUACCUUCUUUCGAAGGCUUAGAUUUGUAUAGGUUAGAUGAGAGUUUGCAGCACCAAUCAUGAUUUUGAUAAUUGGUGGAUUAUUGGAGCAUCUGGGAUUGUAUUAGUAGUAAGGAAAGAUGAAUUUUGAAGUAACAGAACUUGUGUUUCCAUUAGGCUAGAUGACACUUAGCAACAUCAAUGAUGAUUAUGAAAAUGGUGGAUUAUUGGAGCAUCUGGGAUUGGAUUAAUAGUAAGGAAAAAAGGAUUUUGGAGUAACACAACUUGUGUUUUCUUUAGGUUAAAUGAUAUAGCUACUUGGAUUCUAGGAUGGAGAUAAUUUUGGCACUCGGAUUUGUGAUGUUUUGAUCUAAGCUUAGUAGCUUGCAUGUGCCCCAUAUGGAUAUAAUCAUGAAUAUGAUACAUGUGGAUCAGAGUUAUUAGACGUAGGUGAUUUUGGUGUCCCUCCCCAAGAAUGUUAUGAGUACAAGAUCAUCAUUUUGGUUUAAUUUGAAGAGAUGGCAAUUUUAAUGGUAUGUGAUAACCUUGUGGGAGUUGGGCCAUGUGAGCCUCAUAACAGUUGGCAUUAGAGAAACGAUAUUUAAGUAUGUUAUGGUGAACUUUCACCCUCACACCCAAUCCUACCAACCCUUACGUCUCACCAAGCCAUGGCCUAGUCGAGGCGUGACAAUAAAGCUGGAUAUUAAGCCUAAGGAUGUGGCCGUUGGACUAACCCUUAUACUCCACCUAUUUGAUGAACGUCAUAAGAACAUGUUCAUGAGUUCUUGGACAUGUUUGUGGUUAUCAUCAUUGAUGACCUCUUGGUCUAUCCUCCCCUCGAAGAUGAUCAUAAGCAACUCUUGAGAAUGGUUUCUGACAAAUUCCAAGAACCCCAAUUAUAUGCCAAGUUCAAGAAGUAUAAAAUUUGACUAAAAGAAGUUGGGUUAUGUGGACAUGUUUUGUCCAUAGAAAGUUUGCUAAUAGCCCCGUCAAGGAUAGAAUCCGUAACCAAGUGGAAGGCUAAACCAAUGUGAAGUCAGAAGUUUCCUCGGACUUACCGGUUAUUAUCGCAAAUUUGUGGAAGACUUUCGAGCACCAUUGAUGAAUUAACUCCUGAAGAAAGAUAAUACGCUUGAAUGAACUCCUAAGUGUGAAGAGAGCUUCCGAGAGUUUAGAAAAGGUUAACCACUGAUCCGUCCUUAGCCACCCAGGACAUUUAUAAGAGUUUUAAAAAUUAUUGUGAUGCAUCUAAGCGUGUACUUUGUUCUAUAUUUGAUGUAAGAAGGAAGACUCGUAGACUAUCUAUCAAGGCAACUACGUCCUCAUGAAGAGAACUACCCUACCCAUGAUUUGGAUCUAGUAGUAGUAUUGCAUGCUUUAUGUAUGUCUUCUUUCAAAUGAACUUAAACAUGAGAAAAAUAAGAUUGGUAGAUUUAAUCAACCACUAUGACUUUGAUAUCCAUUACCACCCAGAUAAGUGUCACAGUGGAUACUCUCAACAGGAAGUUGUGUACCUGUCAUGCCUUGACCAAGCAGAGCAAUUAGUGCUACCUGAAGGCUUCGAUAAGUUUGGCGUAGAGCUAGUCAGUAGUGGCUAUCUCGCUAACUUCAAUAUUAGGCCCACUCCUAGGUUGAAUCAAGAAGAACAAAAGAAAUCAAUGAAAUGAUCAAGCAUGGAAAAGCCCUGCAUUAUCAAAAGACGAGCAAUGUGGUCUUUGGUUUGGAGGUCGCAUCUACAUACCUAACCAAGAAGGUUUGAAGAAGUGGAAUCUACAAGCAGCUCGUUGCACCCCUUUAUUCCAUCCACCUAGGGAGUACCAAGUUAUACCAGGACCACAGGAGUUCUUAGUGGAAUAGAAUGGACUCAGUUAGGUGAUUGUGAUCUCGAGGAGAUAGUCAAAUAUGUUUGGCUGGUUAUGAGAUUUUAGGUCUAGUACGAGCAUGAUGAUUACUGUAUUAGUGGCUAAAUCAAAAUUUUAAUUAAUAAUGGAAUAAUUUGGAUUUUAGUUAGGUGAUUUUGAUCUUCAAAAGAUGGUCAAAUAUGUUCGGUGGAUUAAGGGAUUUAAGUCUAUUAGGUGAGUAUGGUGAUUAUUUUAUUGGUGGAUAAACAGAUCCUUAAUUAAUCUCGAAACUAUUUGUAUUUAGUUAGGUAUAAUUGUGACCUUGAAACAAUUUUACGGUGGAUUGUGAGAUUUUAGGUGGAUUUAGUUAGGUGAUUAUGAUCUUGAGGAGAUAGUCAAAGGUGUUUGGUUGAUUAUCAGAUUUUAGGGCUAGUAAGUGAGCAUGAUGGUUAUUAUAUUGGUAGAUAAAUAGAUCUUUAGUUAAUCUUGAAAGUAUUUGGAUUUAGUUACGUGAUUGUUAUCUUGAACCAAAUAUCGUGGGGGAUUAUGAUUAGGUGGAUUUGGUUUUAGGUGAUUGUGAUCUUCAUGAGAUAGUUAAAGAUAGUUGAUAAGAGAUUUUAGGUCUAGUAUGAGCAUGUCUACUUUAUAUUGGUGGAUAAUAUAUUCUCAAUUAGUCUUACAAGAAUUUGGAUUUAGUUAGGUGGUUGUUAUCAUGAAGCAAAUUUGACGAUGGUCAUGAGUUUUUAGUGGAUUUAGUCAGGUGAUUGUGAUCUUGAGGGAAUAGUCAAAGAUGUUUGGUGGAUUAUGAGACAUCUUUAAUUAAUCUUGGAACAAAUUGGAUUUAGUUAGGUGAUUGUUAUCUUGAAGCAAAGUUGACGAUGGAUUAUGAUUUUUGGGUGGAUUUAGUUAGGUGAUUGUGAUCUUCAACUAAAUUUUACAGUGGAUUAUAAGAUUUUAGGUGGAUUUGGUUAGGUGAUUGUGUUCUUGAGAAAAUAGUUAGUGAGCAUGAUGAUUAUUCUACAUGAGUGACCAAGACGAUGAUGCCACAAAGAGUCAGUAGACGAGGAGAGGCGGAGAGACUGGCGGCGGAGUCAUCAGAGGGAAGGUGAAGCCAUUCAUGCUCCGAGAGGGCCUGAGAGUUAUAGCUUCGAGGGCCAGCAACAAGUAGAGCAUCCGUGUGAGGAUUGUAAUCAGAAUAAGAGUUAGUCAAGAAUGACCCUACAACUAGAGUUUACAAUCUAACCACCUAAAAUGAGUUGCAUGGGUCGAGGAAUAUGAGCAAAAGUAGGAUCAUGAAAAGACGAAGUGCUAAGAGUGCCUUGACUAUCGACUAGAGGAAGUGGGUGUCAAAGUCGUGCAAUUUUUGUUCCUCGUCAAUCUGGCUUGGUGUCCUUCCCUUGUAUGCGGGUUAUGUGUCACGGACUUGAUGUCGCAUCCUACGUUCCCUUGUUGGGGGCUCUUGGCCCCGGCGACAGGUAGCGUAGUGCACACAUCCUGUGAGUUAGACAUUGCGGUGCCGACUGCCCUUGCUCCUGCUUCGCCGAUAGGUGGUGCUCGAGCGUUCGGCUAUGGCGGCGUCCAGUAGGGGAACACGGGUUGUAGGAUCGAGGCAGCACACAAACCUACCCGUAGCCAAGCAAAGGGUGCCCAAGCGAACUGGCGUGGAGCGGAGAGUGCACGAGGAGUGGGAAGGAAGGGGUGUAAAUGUCAUCGGGAGAGGAUUGCCAUCAUCGUCUGAUUUUGAACUUGAAGUCGAGCGGUGAGGGGAUGACGAUAGGGGAAGCGAGGAAGGCAGGAAGAUGACACUUAAAGGGGAAAGGCAUCAUCCACCCUAUGCAUGUGUGCCACCCGUGAUGGUGGAUGGUUGUGGGCGGAUCCGAUGUUUGCACGUGGAUCUACUACUUGGGAUGGCAUGACAUGAUUGUUGUGGAGUGAGGUGCCGCAACUAUUGUGUUGUGUGGGUGAGUUUGGAGAGAUAGAAGUCGUCUUGCACUCUAGUCUAGGGCUUCAAUUGUACCAAGUUCAACUUAUUCAGAUUUUGUGCUCUCUCAAGCUCAAGCCUUUCUCUGAACCAAAUCUAGCCCAAGAAACCGCCUAGCUAUAAAAGUUCUGAUAGCAUGGACUUAUAUUGAUGUGCUUAACUUAUGGAUUUGUAAGAGCACCGGUUAAGCAUCAACAACUUUUGCCUGGAAUAAUUUUCAACAUGAGAUUGUGAUUGUGUUAGUUAGUCAUUUUACAUCCUUAAGCCCUAACAUGCGGAAAAUUGGGUGGUGCCAUCCAAAAGUUGUAUGGGUGAGUUAUGAUUGGAGUCUGAUGGUGAUGUGGAAGUGAUAUUCAGGAGAUAAUCAAAGAGUUCAGUAGAUUAUGAGAUUUUAUGUCUAGUUGAGCAUGGUGAUUACUAUAUUGGUGGAUAAACAAACCUAUUAAUCUUGGAGCAAUUUGGAUUUAGUUAGGUGAUUGUGAACUUGAAUCAAAUUUCAUGAUGGAUAAAUAACUUUAAUUGUACAUAUGAAGAUGCAUAGUUCGUUAAUAGAACUUGUGGUUUAUAUUGGAUUUAGAUAACCAUGAAUUUGGAGUUUAUUUAAAUCAUGGUUAGAUGUUGGUGGAUUGCUUUGUGUUAAAUUCACACUUUUGGAGAUUCAAGUUGGAGAACUUUAGGGUGUAGUAUGAUCAACCUACAGUGAGGAAGCAUACCUAUAGAUCCUUAAUUAAUCUCAAAACUAUUUGUAUUUAGUUAGGUAUAAUUGUGAUCUUGAACCAAAUUUUAUGGUGGAUUGUGUGACUUUAGUUAGGUGAUUGUGAUCUUGAGGAGAUGGUCAAAGGUGUUCAGUGGAUUAUCAGAUUUUAGUGCUAGUAAGUUAACAUGAUGAUUAUUAUAUUUGUAGAUAAAUAGAUCUUUAAUUAAUCUUGGAAAUAUUUGGAUUUAGUUAUGUGAUUGUUAUCUUGAACCAAAUAUCGCGGGCGACAAUGAUUAGGUGGAUUUGGUUAGAUAGUUAAAGAUAUGAGAUUUUAGGUCUAGUAUGAUCAUCUCUACUUUAUAUUAGUGGAUAAAUAUGUUUUCAAUUAAUCUUGCAAUUAUUUGAAUUUAGUUAGGUGAUUGUUAUCUUGAAGCAAAUUUGUGGAUCAUGAGUUUUUGGUGGUUUCAGUGAGGUGAUUGUGAGCUUGAGGGAAUAGUCAAAGAUGUUUGGUAGAUUAUAAGACAUAUCUUUAAUUAAUCUUGGAACAAAUUGAAUUUAGUUAGGUGAUUCUUGAAGCAAAUUUGACUAUGGAUUAUGAUUUUUUGUGUGGAUUUAGUUAAGUGAUUGUGGUCUUCAACUAAAGUUUACGAUGGAUUGUAAGAUUUUUGGUGCAUUUAGUUAGGUGAUUGUGAUCUUGAGAAAAUAGUUAGUGAGUAUGAUGAUUAUUCUAUUCAUGGAUAAAUAGAUCUUUAAUUAAAUUUGGAGUAAUUUGAAUUUAGUUAGGUGAUAUCUUGAACAAAGUUUUACGGUGGAUUUUGAGUUUUUGUUGGAUUUUGCUAGGUCAUUGUGAUCUUGAGGAGAUUGUCAAAGAUGUUUGGUGAAUUUUGAGAUUUUAGGUCUAGGAUGAGCAUGACUAUUAUUAUAUUGGUGGAUAAACAUAUCUUUAGUUAAUCUUGGAACACUUUGGAUUUAGUUAGGUACUUAGGUGAUUGUGAUCUUGAAGCAAAUUUGACCAUGGAUUAUGAGUUUUUGGUGGAUUUAGUUAGGUAAUUAUGAUCUUCAGGAGAUAGUCAAAGAUGUUUGGUGGAUUAAGAGAUUUUAAUUCUAGUACUUGGGCAUGGUGAUUAUUACGUUGGUGGACAGACAUAUUUUAAUCUUGGAACACUUUGAAUUUAGUUAGGUGAUUGUGAUCUUUAAGCAAAUUUGGAUUAUGAGAUUUUAGGUGUUUGUGAUCUUGAGGAGAUGGUCAAAGAUGUUCAGUGAAUUAUGAGAUUUUAAUCAAAGAUGUUUGGUGGAUUAUGAGAUUUUAGUUCUAGUACGUGAGCAUGGUGAUUAUUAUGUUGGUGGAUAGUCAUUUUUAAUUAAUCUUGCAACGCUUUGGAUUUAGUUGGGUGAUUGUAAUCUUCAAGCAAAUUUAUUGAUAGAGUAUGAAAUUUUAGGUGAUUGUGAUCUUGGGGAGAUAGUCAAAGAUAUUCGGUGGAUUGUGAGAUUUUAGGUCUAGUAUAAACGUGGCUACUAUUAUAUUGGUAGAUAAAGCCUUACAUUAAUCUUGAAAUAAUUUAAAUUUAGUUAGGUGUUUGUGAUCUUGAAGCAAAUUUGACGAUGGAUUUUGAGUGGAUUUAGUUAGAUAAUUGUGAUCUUGAGGAAGUAUGAAUUUUUGGUGGAUUUAGUUUGGUAAUUGUGAUCUUGAGGAAAUAGUCAAAGAUGUUUGGUGGAUUAUGACAUUUUAGUUCUAGUAAGUGAGUAUGGUGAUUAUUAUGUUGGUGGGUGAACCGAUUUUCAAUUAAUCUUCGAACACUUUAGAUUUAAUUAGGUCAUUGUUAGCUUCAAUCAAAUUUACGGAUGGAUUAUAUGAUUUCAGGUGGAUAUAGUUAGGUGAUUGUGAUCUUGAGGAGAUAGUCCUAUAUUAAGUGGAUUAUGAGAUUUUAGGUCUAGCCUAUGCACGUCUACUAUUAUAUUAACGGAUAAACAUGUCUUCAAUUAAUCUUGGAAUAAUUUGGAUUUAGUUAGGUGAUUAUAUUGUUAAAGCAAAUUUGACAAUCAAUUAUGAGAUUUUGGUGGAUUAUGAGAUUUUAGGUCUAGUAUGAGUAUGUUUACUAUGUAUUGGUGGAUAAAUAUAUUUUUAAUUAAUGGAACAAUUUGGAUUUAGUUGGGUAAUUGUGAUCUUGAAGCAACUUUGAUGAUGGGUUAUGAGUUUUUGCGUGGAUUUUCUUAGAUGAUUAUGAUCUUGAGGAGAUAGUAAAAAUCUUCAAUAAAUUAUGACAUUUUAGAUCUAGUACGUGAGCAUAAUGAUGGAUAAAGUGAUCUUCAAUUAAUCUUGGAACACUUUUGAUUUAGUUAGGUGAUGGUAACUUGAAGCAAAUUUGUCUGUGGAUUGAGUUAGGUGAUUGAUGUUGAGGAGAUACACAAAGACGUUCGAUGGAUUAUGAGCUUUUAGGUCUACUAUGAGCAUGACUACUAUUAUAUUGGUGGAUAAACAUAUCUUCAAUUAAUCUUGCGACAAUUUGGAUUUAGUUAGGUGAUUAUAAUCUUGAACCAAAAUUCACGGUGCAUGAUAAAAUUUAAGGUGGAUUUAGUUAGGGGAUUGUGAUCUUGAGGAGAUAGUCAAAAUGUUAGGUGGAUUAUGAGAUUUUAGGUCUAAUAUGAGCAUUUGGUGGACAAGCAGAUCUUCAAUCAAUCUUGCAACAAUAUGGAUUUAAUUAGGUGAUUAUGAUCUUGAAUCGGUGGAUUAUGAGAUUUUGGGUCUAGUAUGAGCAUGGCUACAUAUUGGUGGAUAAAUAUAUCUUUAGUCAAUCUUGCAACCAUUUGCAUUUAGUUAGGUGAUUAUGAUGUUGAACCAAAAUUCAUGCUGGAUUAUGAAAUUUUAGGUGGAUUUAGUUAGGUGAUUGUGAUCUUGAGGAGGUAGUAAAAACUGUUCGGUUGAUUAUGAGAUUUUAGGUCUUGUUAGAGUACGUAAUGGGCCUAAUGGGCCCAUUAGUCUUAGGGUUAAUUAGA